rnacentral:lncRNA from 1 species
AUGAACGGAGCUAGGGCUCCAGGGGUGCGUUGGAUCAAUCCAGGCCAUCUGAUCUGAUUCUCAUGUCACACGUCCAAAGUGAUUACCAUGCGUGUGCACGCAUUGACUGCAAUGUUUGAUGGAAGCGCGCGUUUGGCCAUCAGAUCUGCCACCUCAAUUAAUGAGGGAGAUCUGAUGGCCCUUGUUCUUUUUUAUUUUCUUUUUAUUUUCUAAUUUUUUAUUUAAUCAUUUUAUUUUGAUUAAUUCAUAUUAAUUUCAUUUUUAGUCCAAAAAGUAUGGGACUUUCACCAAAAAUCUUCAAAUAUUUUCCUCUUUCAUUUUUUGAAUUAAAAUUAUUUUUUGGAUUG